UAGCUCAGUUGGAAGAGCAUGGCGCUUGAAACUACAUGGAUGUGGGUUCGAGUCCCAC
rnacentral:tRNA from 1 species